AAAAUGAGCUAGAGGUCUGAAACUGAGAACAUCUGCAGAGGAUAUGCAGAGCUGACAAUAUUGUGUUAAUUUUUUGUGUUAUAAAUUCUUCCAAUGUCUGUUCCUAAUGUCCCACAUGCUCUAGUUCUUUAAUUCAGUAGAGAGUGCGGAAAUAAGGGACCGAAUAAGUAAAGGAAUGUUGUCAGGUGUGAUGUCAGAGGGCUGGUUUGUGAUGUCGUGAUGAACCGGUGGAGUUACAUUACACUAUCUACAAACGCAGGUGAAACACGGUGUUACAGAAACUGAGUGAAUCUACAGAAAGAUUAAUGGCAUCGAUUCAGGUACACCUUUCAACGAUGAGUGACGAGAUGCAGCGGGAAGCUCUACAGUGCGCUCUUCUGGCUGUCAAUAUGUAUAACAAUGGCAAAGACAUUUGUAAUUACAUCUAUCAGGAAUUUCAAAGAAAACAUGGGAGCACCUGGCACUGCAUUGUGGGAAAUACUGAGAGUUACUUAGUGGGAUCCGAAGAUGACUUUUUUAUUGACUUCUCUGUUGGCAACAGGAAGAUAGUGCUUUUCCACACAGCCUAGCAACAGCAACAAUUCAAACAUAUUUUAUUAAAGCAACUAAUAAAAUGUAUAAAUUUAUAAACUUAGAAAAAACUUUUUUCAUUUUACCAAUAUUUCAAAUAAACAUGAACAUUUACCGGGCUGAAGCUAUACUGUGGUUAAUGUCAUUGUUUCUCAACGUUCCUGGAGGACCACCAUCUCUGCACAUUUUCUCCUAAGUGAAGUUU